rnacentral:rRNA from 1 species
GCAAGUCGAGCGGAAACGAGAAUAGCUUGCUAUUCGGCGUCGAGCGGCGGACGGGUAAGUAAUGCUUGGUAAUAUGCCUUAUGGUGGGGGACAACAGUUGAACACGACUGCUAAUCCCGCAUAACGUGUACGGACAAAGGGGGGGAUCUUCGGACCUCUCGCCAUUUGAUUAGCCCAAGUGAGAUUAGCUAGUUGGUAAGGUAAUGGCUUACCAAGGCGACGAUCUCUAGCUGGUUUGAGAGGAUGAUC